UACGAAGGGAGCUAGCGUUGUUCGGAACCACUGGGCGUAGAGCGCACGUAGGCGGAUGUGUCAGUCAGGGGUGAAAUCCCGGAGCUCAACUUCGGAACUGCCCUUGAUACAGCACGUCUUGAGUCCGGAAGAGGUGGGUGGAAUUCCUAGUGUAGAGGUGAAAUUCGUAGAUAUUAGGAAGAACACCGGUGGCGAAGGCGGCCCACUGGUCCGGUACUGACGCUGAGGUGCGAAAGCGUGGGGAGCAAACAGG
rnacentral:rRNA from 1 species